rnacentral:lncRNA from 1 species
UUUUGUAGCGUAAAAGCGAAAUAAAUUCAUACAUACUGUAAUACAAAUAGUCAAGGUAUGUAAUUAAAUUUACAAUGACACAUGGGCCCUCAAAUGACAAAAGUGAACGAAGGCUGUGAACCUACGAUUUUUGAUGAAGUAAAGCCAAUUGUAGCCUUCGACGAUAUCAGCUAUCUACAAACUAUCCUGAGCCUGAAAUGGGUGGAAAGGAG